rnacentral:rRNA from 1 species
CGGCGGUGAGUACGCGUGGAAAACCUGCCGUAUACUGGGGGAUAACACUUAGAAAUAGGUGCUAAUACCGCAUAAGCGCACAGCUUCGCAUGAAGCGGUGUGAAAAACUCUGGUGGUAUACGAUGGUUCCGCGUCUGAUUAGCUAGUUGGUGGGGUAAUGGCCUACCAAGGCAACGAUCAGUAGCCGGCCUGAGAGGGUGAACGGCCACAUUGGGACUGAGACACGGCCCAAACUCCUACGGGAGGCAGCAG